UAGGGAAUUUUCCGCAAUGGGCGAAAGCCUGACGGAGCAACGCCGCGUGAGGGAAGAAGGUUUUCGGAUCGUAAACCUCUGUCUUUGGGGACGAUAAUGACGGUACCCAAGGAGGAAGCCACGGCUAACUACGUGCCAGCAGCCGCGGUAAUACGUAGGUGGCAAGCGUUGUCCGGAGUUACUGGGCGUAAAGGGCGUGUAGGCGGCAUUCUAAGUCAGAUGUGAAAGAUCAGGGCUUAACCCUGGAGGUGCAUUUGAGACUGGAGAGCUUGAGGACCGGAGAGGGCAGUGGAAUUCCCAGUGUAGCGGUGAAAUGCGUAGAUAUUGGGAGGAACACCAGUGGCGAAGGCGACUGCCUGGACGGCACCUGACGCUGAGGCGCGAAAGCUAGGGGAGCAAACGGGAUUAGAUACCCCGGUAGUCCUAGCCGUAAACGAUGGGUACUAGGUGUGGGAGGUAUCGACCCCUUCCGUGCCGCAGUUAACACAAUAAGUACCCCGCCUGGGGAGUACGGCCGCAAGGUUG
rnacentral:rRNA from 1 species